rnacentral:rRNA from 1 species
UACGAAGGGGGCUAGCGUUGCUCGGAAUCACUGGGCGUAAAGGGUGCGUAGGCGGGUCUUUUAAGUCAGGGGUGAAAUCCUGGAGCUCAACUCCAGAACUGCCUUUGAUACUGAAGAUCUUGAGUUCGGGAGAGGUGAGUGGAACUGCGAGUGUAGAGGUGAAAUUCGUAGAUAUUCGCAAGAACACCAGUGGCGAAGGCGGCUCACUGGCCCGGUACUGACGCUGAGGCACGAAAGCGUGGGGAGCAAACAGGG